ACGACUAUUCUAUUAAUAUAUUAUUAUAUAUUUAUAUUAAUUAGUAUUAACUUAAAAAAUAUUCUCGGCGUUCAUUUGUAUAAAAGGAUCAGCUUCACCACUUUACAACUCAGUUUAUAGUUGACUUCGUCGUAUUCAGCAGACAUGAAAUUCUUUAUCUUCUUCGCUUUGUUACUGGUCCUUUUAGGCACCGCUUUGGGUGAUGGAAAGCAUCCAUUGAAUAAUAAAGAACAAUCACACCAAAAACAGCAACCAAGUCCAAGCCACGGCGGCCAACCACAAACAGCCGGACAUCACAAGGAUUCCCACCAUGGCCACUAGAUAUUGGAGUAUUUCGAUGCAAAGUCCUUGGUUUGAAUAAAUAAAAAAUUACCUAA